GCUCAGAACGAACGCUGGCGGCAUGCCUAACACAUGCAAGUCGAACGAUCACUUCGGUGAUAGUGGCGCACGGGUGCGUAACGCGUGGGAAUCUGCCCUUAGGUUCGGAAUAACUCAGAGAAAUUUGAGCUAAUACCGGAUGAUGACGUAAGUCCAAAGAUUUAUCGCCUAGGGAUGAGCCCGCGUAGGAUUAGGUAGUUGGUGGGGUAAAGGCUCACCAAGCCGACGAUCCUUAGCUGGUCUGAGAGGAUGAUCAGCCACACUGGGACUGAGACACGGCCCAGACUCCUACGGGAGGCAGCAGUGGGGAAUAUUGGACAAUGGGCGAAAGCCUGAUCCAGCAAUGCCGCGUGAGUGAUGAAGGCCUUAGGGUUGUAAAGCUCUUUUACCCGGGAUGAUAAUGACAG
rnacentral:rRNA from 1 species